rnacentral:lncRNA from 1 species
UGGUGCCUACAGCUUACAACACAAAGGGACCCUUUUACGAUCAAUACCUAUUUUAUUUGGUUACAUCACUCAUACGGUCUCACACACUCACACCACUCAUACCAUUGUUCGCUUUCCCAGUUCAUGUCAUUUAGAAUACGAAACGGUGAUGGUAAGACGUAGAUAUAGUCUCUCUGAGAGACUAUAUAAAUACUCUACUCUCUAGUGCUUUAAUACUAGAUUACAACUUAUCUACCCGCUACUACAAAUAUCUGUGCUACUUAGUAAGUAUGAGUGAGCUAUUAUUUAAUUUAAUUUAAUUAACUAUAGUAAUUAAUAUAUUACCAUGUUUUAUAAUAUCUAUUAUUACCAUGAUUUUAGGUAAAACACGCGAUUGAAAUUCAAACAGUAAAUAUUCAUCACAGACCAUAGUAUAAUCUUAUGACUCAUGGGAAAUUCAUGGAUUUCAGAUUUGUGGUUAACGUGCAUGAUUCUGCUCUGAUAUGCGGUCUUCAUAUAGGUAUAUAAAAUAUAUAAUAAUAAUAUAAUAUUAAAAAACCAACCUGGCAGUGUUAUAUUAUAUAAUAGAGCAUCGUGUAUAGGCACACUAAUGAAUAAUAAUUUACAAAAAUUAAAAUUUCAAACAAAACAAUUAAAUAGUAAAAUAAACAAAUAUAAAUUGGUUGCUAUUGUGUUUAGGACAAUUUACCAUAAUAUUAUUAUAUUGGAGUGCACUUGAAAGUAAAUAAUAUAUUCAAUUAGUUAAACUCAUAAAACAUUCCAUCCUUCUCUUACAUGUUAGUGAAAUAUAUUUAAACAACAGAAAUGUUAAUAAAAUUUAAUAUUUUGGUAUAUGUAUUUUAUUAUUAAUUAUACGGGAGUACAGAACGACAGAAAAAAAUAAGGUGAUAAAAUAUUUUAGUAUUAAUUUUUAUUAGAUAGAGUGAUUUUAGGUUGGAGAGAGUAUUUGUUAGACGCAUUAAACAGUCAAGAGGUUAAUUGCUGCAGUAAUUUGUAGUACGUUUGGGUACUACAUAAGGGGUGAGGGAGUGAGUGGAGUGCUGAAGAACUCGGAAAUUAAUACAAGAGAGGAAGGAAGGUACAUCAAACGAGUAGUCGUGAAUGGGGUGGGGAAUAUUCAAAGUAAACCAGCGAAGGACAGAUUUUAUUAUUUUAAAAUUGGUUAUACUCAAUAUGCAAUAGAGCAUUAUCAUGAAUCAUGAUCAAAUUUGACCCUAAUUACUUUCUUAAAUGAGAGAAGAAGGUGACAGUCAUAGUUUAUAAUUAACUUGUACAUCUAGAAUUGAUAUGGUCAAAACGAUUAGCACUGCAUCACUGUAGUACCAGUGUACCAGUACUACCUUGAACAACACAUGUGUGAUCGAGAGAACUAAUAGUAUCAAUUUUCUAUUAGACAUUAGGUAUUGCAUAGAGUAUUUAAAUCAUAUGAUAUUGGUACAAAUUUCCAAUUGUAUACACGUAACUAUAAAUCUAUAAUACAGUUGUAAUCAAGUUGUUAGUUCUCAUUAUAGAAGGCAAAUUAGAAAGGGUUUCCAAAAUUCACUUAAACGAUAGUGGAAGGCUUCAUUAUCUCUUCUGAUGGUUUGAUUAAGCCUCAUUUUUUAAAUUUAUAUAUAUAUAUAUAGUUAUGGCUGGGGUGACGAAGUGAAUUAGGAUUAAUUGAUAAAUAUUAAUAAAAUAUUAUUUGCAUGAGUUUGUUUGUAUGCAAUAUCAGGAUCAUAAAUUACAUACAAAUUGUGGGGGGGGGGGGGGCUAUAAAAUAGCUAAACUGUUCAAAAUAUUAAACCGGCUGUAUUUUUGCUUAAAUACCUAGUUAUUAACUAGUAAGUUUCUUAAUAUUGUUUUGUAAGAUUACUGUUGUAUUUUAAUUUUAUAAAAUUAAAACUUCUAGUAUGGAAUAUACUCUAUCAACUUCCAAUUCCACCUGUUGCAUCAAAUACAUUUCUAGUUGUACUGUAAUUUCCUAUUUCAGUCUUUGAUAUACAACAUGACGAAACUAAGCAAUAUUGCGAGGUAUAGAUAAAAUUUAUCAUCAUAAAUGAUUUUUUUUUUUAUAUAGAAUUACAAACAUUAACAAAAAAAACUACAAUAAUAUUGUUAUUGGCUGAUAUUGAAAAAUAAAAGUAUAGAAAUUAGAAUAUUAAACUGACAGCCAUCUAGACAUUAUCACACAUUAUUUGUUUAGGUUUUUUAAUGUCAGCUGUAAUAUUUUUUGUUUUAAUGAUUGGUAACAAUAUUUUUUAGCUAAUUUAUUUUUAUUAUUUAAUGUAAACCCCACACAAAUGAGUAACUGAAGAAAGAUGAAAAGCAGACCAAACUUAUCAACUAACUUGUAAAUCUAUGGAAUAAACUUUUUUGCAUAUUGUUUACUCCAUCAUGAGGAGUGGCUCAUGGUUAGGUCUCUUUACUUUAUGUUGAUAUUAGAUUUUUCACUACUCAAUGUCUUUCUCUUUAUAUGUAGAAUGUAUAUGGAUACAAAAUAUUAAAUAUUUAUGUAGGUUCUAGUUAUUUUAUAACUACUGAUGAUAACAAGUAAAUUUGUCAGUAUCCACCCAGUGAACAUUUCUUUUCAGAAAAAGUCCUAUAAAUGAUAAUCUGAGUAAACUUUCUGGUAGAAAAAGAGUUUAAAUAAAAAAAAAUUAAUGUAAAACCAAUAUAUAUCUAGAAAAUAGACUAAUAUCUAAUUUAAUAAUACUAAUGUCUCAAAACUUAAAAAUAAUUAAUUAAUAACAUUUAAUCUGGUUAUAGAUGUGAUGGAAAUUAAAACUGCAACUUCUAUGUAUACCUACAAUUAUGUGUCUUUCAACAGUGAAUAAGCACUGUAGCAAGUUGGGUUUGUUGUUCUUCUGUCAACCACCAAUCUAGAAUGUGAUCUCAAAUUAUAUUGAAAAAUAUUGGUUCAUUAUGGUAAAUAUGGUCUAAGAAAAGUUAAAUGUAUUGUGCUAAAAGCGCUAAGAACUUCUAAUAAUUAUGGUGGAAAUUUAUUACAAGUUUAUACAUAUAAUUAUCAAUUCUUCUAUAUAUAUUGUAGUGUAAAUGAACCAGAAAUACUUUACACUUGUGUUUUAUCAACUGUUUAUAAUAUUGCUACUUAAAAACUACCAAACAAACUGCACAAGAUGGAUCUGUUCACUCACAAAAAGCAAUACUUUUUCAAAUAUAUAUGAACAUAUUAUUAAAAGUUCAUGAAAGUGGUUGUGCAUGGGGUGUAAAGGGACUUUAUAUCCCAUGGACAACCACUUAUAUAUCUUUCAAUGAAAAUGAUCCAGAAAUAUUUAAAACUUGUGUUUUAUCAAUUGUUUAUAGUAUUUCGACUUGUAAACUAUUAAACAAACUGGACAAGGUGAAUCUGUUCACAACCUGAAAUACUUACACAAAUAUAAGUGAACAUAUUAUUGAGAGUUCAUGAAAGUGGGUGUGCAUGGGAUGAAAAGGGACUUCUCAUCCCAUGGACAUCCACUUAUAUAUCUCUCAGUGAAAAUGAUCCAGAAAUACUUAAAACUACCAAACAAACUGAAAAAGAUGGAUCUGUUCACACCCUGAAAUACUUACUCAAAUAUAAGUGAACAUAUUAUUAAAAGUUCAUGAAAGUGGUUGUGCAUGGGGUGAAAAGGGACUUCUCAUCCCAUGGACAACCACUUAUAUAUCUUUCAAUGAAAAUGAUCCAGAAAUAUUUAAAACUUGUGUUUUAUCAAUUGUUUAUAGUAUUUCGACUUGUAAACUAUUAAACAAACUGGACAAGGUGAAUCUGUUCACAACCUGAAAUACUUACACAAAUAUAAGUGAACAUAUUAUUGAGAGUUCAUGAAAGUGGGUGUGCAUGGGAUGAAAAGGGACUUCUCAUCCCAUGGACAUCCACUUAUAUAUCUCUCAGUGAAAAUGAUCCAGAAAUACUGAAAACUACCAAACACACUGGACGAGAUGGAUCUGUUCACAACCUGAAAUACUUACUCAAAUAUAAGUGAACAUAUUAUUGAAAGUUCAUGAAAGUGGGUGUGCAUGGGAUGAAAAGGGACUUCUCGUUCCAUGGACAUCCACUUAUAUAUCUUUCAAUGAAAAUGAUCCAGAAAUAUUUAAAACUUGUGUUUUAUCAAUUGUUUAUAGUAUUUCUACUUGUAAACUAUUAAACAAACUGCACAAGAUGGAUCCGUUCACCCACAACAUAAAACACUUACUCAAAUAUAGGUGAACAUAUUAUUGAAAGUUCAUGAAAGUGGGUGUGCAUGGGAUGAAAAGGGACUUCUCGUCCCAUGGACAUCCACUUAUAUAUCUUUCAGUGAAAAUGAACCAGAAAUACUUGACACUUGUGUUUUAUCAAUUAUAAUAUUUCUACUUGAAAAAGGCCAAACAAACUGCACAAGAUGGAUCUGUUCACUCACAACAUGAAACACUCAAAUAUAUAUGAACAUAUUAUUAAAAGUUCAUGAAAGUGGUUGUGCAUGGGGUGUAAAGGGACUUUAUAUUCCAUGGACAACCACUUAUAUAUCUUUCAAUGAAAAUGAUCCAGAAAUAUUUAAAACUUGUGUUUUAUCAAUUGUUUAAAGUAUUUCUACUUGUAAACUAUUAAACAAACUGCACAAGAUGGAUCUAUUCACUCACAACAUGAAAUACUUACUCAAAUAUAUGUGAACUUAUUAUUGAAAAUUCAUGAAAGUGGGUGUGCAUGGGAUGAAAAGGGACUUCUCGUCCCAUGGACAUCCACUUAUAUAUCUUUCAAUGAAAAUGAUCCAGAAAUAUUUAAAACUUGUGUUUUAUCAAUUGUUUAAAGUAUUUCUACUUGUAAACUAUUAAACAAACUGCACAAGAUGGAUCUAUUCACUCACAACAUGAAAUACUUACUCAAAUAUAUGUGAGCUUAUUAUUGAAAAUUCAUGAAAGUGGGUGUGCAUGGGAUGAAAAGGGACUUCUCAUCCCAUGGACAUCCACUUAUAUAUCGCUCAGUGAAAAUGAUCCAGAAAUACAGAAAACUACCAAACACACUGGACGAGAUGGAUCUGUUCACAACCUGAAAUACUUACUCAAAUAUAAGUGAACAUAUUAUUAAAAGUUCAUGAAAGUGGUUGUGCAUGGGGUGUAAAGGGACUUUAUAUCCCAUGGACAACCACUUAUAUAUCUUUCAAUGAAAAUGAUCCAGAAAUAUUUAAAACUUGUGUUUUAUCAAUUGUUUAUAGUAUUUCGACUUGUAAACUAUUAAACAAACUGGACAAGGUGAAUCUGUUCACAACCUGAAAUACUUACUCAAAUAUAAGUGAACAUAUUAUUGAGAGUUCAUGAAAGUGGGUGUGCAUGGGAUGAAAAGGGACUUCUCGUUCCAUGGACAUCCACUUAUAUAUCUUUCAGUGAAAAUGAACUAGAAAUUCUGGGAACUUGUGUUUUAUCAAUUAUAAUAUUUCUACUUGAAAAAGGCCAAACAAACUGCACAAGAUGGAUCAGUUCACUCACAACAUGAAAUACUUACUCAAAUAUAUGUGAACUUAUUAUUAAAAGUUCAUGAAAGUGGUUGUGCAUGGGGUGAAAAGGGACUUCUCAUCCCAUGGACAACCACUUAUAUAUCUUUCAAUGAAAAUGAUCCAGAAAUAUUUAAAACUUGUGUUUUAUCAAUUGUUUAUAGUAUUUCGACUUGUAAACUAUUAAACAAACUGGAAAAGAUGGAUCUAUUCACUCACAACAUGAAAUACUUACUCAAAUAUAUGUGAACUUAUUAUUGAAAAUUCAUGAAAGUGGGUGUGCAUGGGGUGAAAAGGGACUUUUCAUCCCAUGGACACCCACUUAUAUAUCUUUCAGUGAAAAUGAUCCAAAAAUACUAAUAACUUGUGUUUUAUUAAUUGUUUAUAAAUUUCUACAUGAAAAAAGCCAAACAAACUGCACAAGAUG